UACGUAGGGUGCGAGCGUUGUCCGGAAUUACUGGGCGUAAAGAGCUCGUAGGUGGUUUGUCGCGUUGUUCGUUGAAAACUCACAGCUUAACUGUGGGCGUGCGGGCGAUACGGGCAGACUGGAGUACUGCAGGGGAGACUGGAAUUCCUGGGUGUAGCGGGUGGAAUGACGCAGAUAUCAGGAAGAACACCCGUGGCGAAGGCGGCUCUCUGGAACGCAACUGGACGCUGAGACGCGAAAGCGUGGGGAGCAAACAGG
rnacentral:rRNA from 1 species